GCGCUUACUUCGACAGCAUGUGUAGUAAAAUUGGAAUGAUACAGAGUAGAUUACUGUGGCCCCUGGGCAAGGAUGACACACACAUCCGUGAUGUAGAUAUUUUGU
ensembl:snRNA U6 U6 spliceosomal RNA